ACUGCCAAGGAAUGUUCAUGGCUAACAGCAUAACAGCCGCGAUGCAGAGCGCACAUCGCCCGCCUCGCCGCCGGCGCUCACGCAUGUCGCCCACCUCGCCACAGCACCCGCACAUGUCGCCCACCUCGCCGCUGCCUCUGUGCAAUGCUUCUGUCACAACACCCAUCUUUUGCCGAUAAUAUGGUCACCGCCGCCUCGCCAUGACCGCCAUGGAAACAGGACCGCCGGUCCUCUCGGUCCGGCCCGGGCUUCACCACCGCCGGUCCGGUCCCUGAAAACAGGCCCGCCACGCUGCUCGGUCCGGUCCGGUCCGGACCGCCGGUGGCCGGUCCAAACGGCGGCUCGGACCGGGACCGGACCGGCUCGGACCGUGUCCACCCUGACUCGCCGGGACGACGACGCGACCUCGCCGACGACGCGGCCGUAUUCAAGGCGGAGAUGCCGUCGUCGAGGUACCUUGACGCGGCCGUCUCGUCCUCACCUCGCCGAUCGAGUGGAGAUGCCUGGCUGCUCCGUCUCGCCGUCGGCAAGGACAGGGUAGGCUCCAUCCGUGCUUUGUCCACAACCACGCCAUGGAGAUGGAGGUCAGCAGCCUGCCGCCAUGACCAUGUUAUGUUGGUUUCGAUUUGGCCCGAUGCGCCAUGCACCACCUCCGGGUCCGACUGAUUCUUCUGCCGCUGCUCCGACUCUUCAAGAGAGGAGAGCCAAGGCCUCCAGUCGGUCUGUCCUGCGGCUGCGGGUGAGGAUUAAGGACAUCUUGUUGGGACUUGGAAGGGGGCGAAGUGAGACAUGAACUACCCAACUAGCUAGGCUGGAGGUGGACUGAGAAGGGGAAGCAGAAAAAGAAAGCUUGAUCGAUCCGGUGAAGCUUUGGAAUCCUCGGCCCGCGUUUGGCUCUGUAACUGCUGGCAAUUCCUCUAGUAUAAGAGCACUGAUUGCGGCCUCGUUUCCAUCUUGUGGGACUUGGAAGGGGGCCAAGCAGCCGGAGCGGGCAAAGUGAGACAAGAACUACUUCGGAGGUGGAGUGAGAAGGGAAAGCACGGAAACGAGAGCAGCCGCCGCUAAGGAAGGUCCCUCUUCUCCCCUCGUGGAGCAGAAGAGCGGGAACUUGCAUCGGCAGGCACUCCAGCCUCCUCCCGAUGAGCCGCGGGCACCAGACGAGAACCGUCCGCUGUGGAGGACAAACUGCGACGCGCUGCUUGGAUGGAUCCAGGAUUGGCCGCUGACGAAGGAUUUGCCGCCUCACAAAGGUUGAUCUUGUGCCUGCCUAGGUUGAGAACUAUCCUCUGUGGAGGACGAGCUGCAGAGGCGGCGUGUUGCUUGGAUGGAUCUAGGAUCGGCCGCUGAGGAAGGAUUUGCCUCCUCACCACGGUUGAUCUCGUGCCUGCCUAGGGUGAGGUUCGGCCAUCUUCUUCUUCGCCCGGCACUAGCAUGUUGGAGGCGGUGAAGACCAGCAGCGCAGCCGCCAUACGACCAUGUCCUAGUGCAGGCAGCCAUCUCUGGCGAGCUCACGCCCUUGCACCACCAGAAGCACCACGUCAGCAACUGCAACAUCUAGUUUGAUGGCUGUGAGCAGCCUGCCACCAGCGACCGACCUCCAUUGGGACAUGACUGCCAGCCGGCAGCACUUGAACCAUACAUGGCACACUGUCAGGAUCUCCAUGUCAGACUACAUGGGUUGUGAUUACAUGGCCGAGAAGCUCAGCCUCAACAAUAGUGGAGCUCUACAUCCUCAUGUUUACAAUUACAAGUAGUACAGAACCACCAUGGCUGGGCUGCCGAGUAGUGUUUUUGCUGGGUGUGCCUUGGGCGACAAUGGCGUGGAGAUGAUACUUUCCAAUACGAGUUUGGUCAGCGAAACAGAUCUGCCUCUGUCACCGCUCACUCCCCCCAUAGCAUCUGGUUGGCACUUCUUCCACUCCGCCAUAGUGUUGUUUUGCAUUCUAGAUGGUUGCUCUCUUGGAAAUGAGUGGUCCAUGGACCUUCUAAAGGGAGGAAAACCACCCUGGAAGUCACAGGCUUUGGGAGGGAAGCCCUACACAUCUUGGUUCAGGUUACGUGCCAUGGAAUGGACGGAUGAUGAUGAGCGACCACCAAUGGAUCUGGUCGAAUGCACCUUGCCAGUCUAGCGAGUCCUUGGAAGUGGACGGUGGCCCUAUUGGUUGAAGGCAGGGGGAAAUCGCUCGACGUAUUUCAGCAAUCAACAGGGCACAUUUAGGCCUGGUUGCCAUUGGAUGUACUGAGAGGGGUCUGUAGAGAGAUCCCAAUCUCAUGGUCUAAGUGUCUAUGCUGAAUGUUGAGACAUUCUGAGAUACAAGAAGACCCUGCCGAUCUAAUCUUGAAGAAUACAGAUUGGCAUUAUUGUGUUUAUUUUCACUUUUCUCUCUCAUAGGCUCAGGUGUCUCGGAACUUUGUAAAAUUGAUGGGAUGGUGGUAUAUGUUGGCCUUGUCCCAGGGAUUGUAUUGUGUGGCAGGGAGGGAGUUAUUAUUGUAUUUUCGGUCAGUGUCAAGAGAUUGGAAUGAAUG